rnacentral:rRNA from 1 species
CCCCGCGAACUACUUAUGCCCUUCUGGAACAGGCAAACUUUAUUGUUUGCCCUUCAGUUGCGCAGGUCAGGGGCUGGCUCCUUUUGGUGUCAGUUGACUUGACUGGGCGGGUCCAAUACCAGCCGGAUUCACCUUGCCUUCUAGGCUUGGGGUUCUGCCGGCUGUGAGGGGUGGCUGUUUAACUCACUUUAAGCAAUCAAUUCUGAAGGCAGAUCUAUAGGCUGGCUAUGCUGGCUGUAGUCUGAUUAAAUAUAGACAACUCUCAACAACGGAUAUCUUGGCUCCCGUAACGAUGAAGAACGCAGCGAAAUGCGAUACGUAGUGUGAAUUGCAGAAUUCCGUGAACCAUCGAAUCUUUGAACGCAAAUUGCGCUCGAGGCCUCGGCCAAGAGCAUGUCUGCCUCAGCGUCGGCUACUACCCUCAACUAAGUUUCCUAUACACAUAGGGGAUGCCGGUUGGAUCUGGCCGUCCGGUUUGCCUUUUAGGUUGCCGGUCAGCUGAAAUACGUUCACGCUCUGGGGGCUGCUUUCCUUCCGAGGAGAGGCGAGUUCCGAUUUGGUAGGUGACCUUUGCCGGUUGCAUGCCUUCGUUGCCCGCUAAGCUUUCCAGUAUGCGUUGUGCAGGACGCCUUUUGGCUUUCGACCUGAGGUCAGGCAAGAACACCCGCUGAACUUAAGCAUAUCAAUAAGCGGAGGAAAAGAAACUAACUAGGAUUCCCUUAGUAGCGGCGAGCGAACCGGGAUCAGCCCAACUUGUAAAUCAUUAGCCCUUGGCUAAUUGAAUUGUAGUCUCAAGAUGCGAUCUCUGCAGCUAGCAGUGCCCAAUUUUCCUUGG